CUACGGGGGGCACCAGUGAGGAAUAUUGGACAAUGGAGGCAACUCUGAUCCAGCCAUGCCGCGUGCAGGAAGACGGCCCUACGGGUUGUAAACUGCUUUUAUACAGGAAGAAACGCCGCUACGUGUAGCGGUUUGACGGUACUGUACGAAUAAGGAUCGGCUAACUCCGUGCCAGCAGCCGCGGUAAUACGGAGGAUCCAAGCGUUAUCCGGAAUCAUUGGGUUUAAAGGGUCCGUAGGCGGUUUUUUAAGUCAGAGGUGAAAUCCUGCAGCUCAACUGUAGCAUUGCCUUUGAUACUGAAAGACUUGGGUUAUUGUGAAGUAGUUAGAAUGUGUAGUGUAGCGGUGAAAUGCAUAGAUAUUACACAGAAUACCGAUUGCGAAGGCAGAUUACUAACAAUAUACUGACGCUGAGGGACGAAAGCGUGGGUAGCGAACAGGAUUAGAUACCCGCGUAGUC
rnacentral:rRNA from 1 species